GAUGAUGACAUUCAGGGGCUCAAUUGGUUAAGAGACUUAGAACAUCGUCACAUUUUGCAUUUGCAUUUAAAAAUACUUGUUAUUUUCUUUUGGUCUACGAUAUGCCAAUUUGGUUGGUGCAUAUUACUAAUUAAACCAUGAAUUUAAACCUGCAUUAAGUUAAAGUCCUAAGGAAGCCACUAUAGGCAUUUGUAUUAUUGCAGGAGAAUGUCA
rnacentral:misc_RNA from 1 species